AGAAAUUCAACGUUCUGAGUCCUGAAUAUGUAGAUUUCAUGAUGAACCUUUCCACUCCAACAAUUAGUCUUUGGCAAAGAGACAAAAUCCAGAACCUUGGAAAAGGUUCAUGGGCAGAAGGUAAUUGUUUCUUGGUGUAUUAUUCCAUACAUUUUGCUUUCAUCUUGGAAUUUAUCUCAUUGUAGUAUCUUCACCUAAUCACGCUAAUAAUGCUGAUGAAGUUUCUGUAAAGAUUCUAAUUUGACAUAUAUGUGGAUUGUGUUAUUACACAAAGUGCAAAUGUUGCUGUAGGCUCUGAAUAUGGGUGGCAAAACUUAUACCUAUAAAGAAGCUAGUUGAUGCGAGUGACCAAGGUAUGAUCUCUUGUUCCAUCAAAUCUUUUCAAUGAUGCUAAUG